rnacentral:rRNA from 1 species
GCACUAUCCAAAACUUGUCGUGAACCUGGCUGAAUGCGACUGCUUGCGAAUUUGUUUUCGCAAGCGGAAGCUAUGGGCGAAUGGAGGUAUUCGGAGCUGCACUGUGUGCAUGUUCUGGGUGCUGCCCAUCGUCAUUGGUCCCUCUUGGACCUUCCACAACUUGAACUACUCUUGUUUCAGCUUGUGUCAAGAACGAUUGGAUUACAAU